GGUCGCGUGGUUCAAUUGGCAGAGCAUCGCGCUAAAAUCGUGAAGGUGUGAGUUAGAGUCUUACCGUGACCA